GCAGCUAUAAGAAAGGAAUUACUCAUAGGAAAGCAUUACUCAAUGCUUUUCUAUGGACGUUCAGCGUCUUCUCACUGUGAUUUUCACAGUGAGAAUCGCGGAAGCUCCUCUAGCGGCUGUCAAUGAGACAGCCACUAGAGGCUGGAUUAACCCUCAGUGAAGCAUAGCAGUUUCUCUGAAACUGCUAUGUUUUCAGCUGCAGGGUUAAAACUAGAGGGACCUGGCACCCAGAC